rnacentral:rRNA from 1 species
GACAGAGGGUGCAAACGUUGUUCGGAAUUACUGGGCGUAAAGCGCAUGUAGGCGGUUCGUAAAGUCAGAUGUGAAGCCCUGGGCUUAACCCAGGAAGUGCAUUUGAAACUCACGAACUUGAGUCCCGGAGAGGAAGGCGGAAUUCGUCGGUGUAGAGGUGAAAUUCGUAGAUAUCGAGAGGAACAUCGGUGGCGAAGGCGGCCUUCUGGACGGUGACUGACGCUGAGAUGCGAAGCGUGGGGAGCAAACAGG